AUUGAACGCUAGCGGGAUGCCUUACACAUGCAAGUCGAACGAGUGGCGAACGGGUGCGUAAUGUAUCGGAACGUGCCCAGUCGCGGGGGAUAACUACGCGAAAGCGUAGCUAAUACCGCAUACUAUUGGCGCGGCCGAUUUGGGAUUAGCUAGUAGGGGGGGUAACGGCUCACCUAGGCGACGAUCCCUAGCUGGUCUGAGAGGAUGACCAGCCACACGGGAACUGAGACACGGUCCAGACUCCUACGGGAGGCAGCAGUGGGGAAUAUUGCACAAUGGGCGCAAGCCUGAUGCAGCCAUGCCGCGUGUAUGAAGAAGGCCUUCGGGUUGUAAAGUACUUUCAGCGAGGAGGCGUUACUCGCAGAAGAAGCACCGGCUAACUCCGUGCCAGCAGCCGCGGUAAUUC
rnacentral:rRNA from 1 species